AAUAAUUAUAUACAAUUUUGUUUAGUUAUCAGAAUCAUGGGAGAAUCAUGAUUUCUAUUUGAAACAAACAAACAAAAAUCUCAUUUAAUAAAGAACAUUUUAUAUUUUCAAAAUUAUUUUGCUUGCCAUAUAAAGAUGCUUGAAAAGUACCUGCAAUACUUAAAAUAGUGUUAAUUUAGACACAAAUGUAUUUGACUUCCUCUUUUUUGAAGAACAGGAUGAGAUAAGCAAAAGUUGUGAAUGUUAAGUUCCUGAACUUAUUUAUUGAGAAGAUACACAGGGGUGAAGAGAACAUGUUGAAACCGCCAGCAGAGAUGAAAUACACGAAGAUUACAGUGAAGAAGAGAAAGAAUGCUAGAAGACAACAGCAUAAACGACAGAGGAAGGACAGUUCAAACAAACUGAGCCUCCAAAAAGAAGAAGCACAAGGGAGUUAUCUCCGUCAAUAAGCGCAUUGUUAGAUCUGCAAGUAGUAAGCACACACUGUAUAUAUUCAGAGACCUCGUAUUUAUUCCGAACAGCAACUGCACAUGUUAACUCUGAGCGCACUUCUCCUUCACUCCUAGUAACUCUCUUCUUCUCUCUCCUAUCCAGCGUCUCUAGCGGCAGCAUGAGGAAUUACAUUAUACGACACAACAUUUCCCCUCUUUGUAAAAACAUUUCUCUUAACUUAACCAAGGAAACAUGUACUCUGAAUAAAGCAGUUGUGGCAACCUAGGCAACUAUUCAGUAACAGUCCGUACAGUAUAUUCAUUGUAUAUUAAACAAUGAUGUAUAGGUGGCUUUAAAACUCAUGACAUGAAUACAUGAACUGUCAGCAAAACAGUAAAUUGAUACUCGAACAUAUUCAACUACAUUACUUUUAACAUUUUUGUAAACCAAUAAGAGCAAAAUUCAUUCAGAACAGUUUUCUUUCCUUUGAGGGCUACACCAACUUACAUGUAAAACAGUCCUAUUUAUUUGAUCACAUAGUCUUUGUGCCAAAUAGGCUUGCGUCUCAUACGUGAGACUUUCACAGAGCUGUGUGUAGUGUUGUGUGUUUGCUGUAAUGCGUUGCAGUCAGUCCAGGUGAGUAUGCCAGUGUUGGGUCCCUGUGGUGGUCGGGCCAAGAACAAGCUGGACAGGUAGUAGGCAAACCGAGAAGGGUUUAUUUAAACCAACAAAUAAAAUAAUCUUAACAGGAAAGUUGAAAAUCAUUUCCAAAGUAUAUACAAAGGAAUAACAAAAAACCAAAAACAAAAAUUAAACAAUCAAAGAAAAAUAACUCCCCUGUUAACAAGAUAACAAAAGGUAAAUAUCAAAUAACUUUACCAAAUAAACUCAAACAAAAUAGCAAGUCACAGAACAAUAUACGCCAUAAUACCUAACAUAAUACAAUCAUCUACCUAAAAUACAAAAAAAAAAAAAAAAGAAAAGAAAA